AUUGAACGCUGGCGGCAUGCCUUACACAUGCAAGUCGAACGGCAGCACGGGAGCAAAUCCUGGUGGCGAGUGGCGAACGGGUGAGUAAUAUAUCGGAACGUGCCCAGUAGUGGGGGGAUAGCCCGGCGAAAGCCGGAUUAAUACCGCAUACGACCUGAGGGUGAAAGCGGGGGAUCGCAAGACCUCGCGCUAUUGGAGCGGCCGAUAUCAGAUUAGCUAGUUGGUGGGUAAAGGCCUACCAAGGCUACGAUCUGUAGUUGGUCUGAGAGGACGACCAGCCACACUGGGACUGAGACACGGCCCAGACUCCUACGGGAGGCAGCAGUGGGGAAUUUUGGACAAUGGGCGCAAGCCUGAUCCAGCAAUGCCGCGUGCAGGAAGAAGGCCUCGGUUGUAAC
rnacentral:rRNA from 1 species